GUUGCUGUUUUGAGUUCUGUCUUUGUCUUUUUAAGUAAUUUAUGAAAUUAUUCUGUUGAUCAUCUUUAAUCAAACGGCUCUCAGAAAGUUGGAUGGAUCUUUAAUCAAACGGCUCUCAGAAAGUUGGAUGUGGUACUCGCGAUUAUGACGAUCGUCACCGUAACGUUUUGCAAGCUAGAAUGGGAUUACAAAAAACGAACCGACACCGCAUACGUUAUGGCCACCCCCAAUCCCCAAAGCGUCCACAUACGGAGCGGUCCACAAUCCCGGCCAGUCCAUGGUACGCUCAGCCAGAUCCGUGAAGUACGGUUUCAUGUUGUUGAUCAGAUCUUCCCCAUCGGUCAGGCGCAUCAUCACACCAUUAUUGGAGCACGACAGAUUUCCGGGAAAGACUUCGCCCUCAUCAACAGUCAAAAAACUGAAAAUCCGUGCCUGCAAAACAUUGUAAACUGUGUUCCAGUUUUAACAGGAUCCCACACUUUGGUCCAAUUAUAACGGCACACCGGGCCCGGAACAUCUGCACGUUAUCCCAAUGUAAAUAUUUCGGUAGCUUUAUACGUUCUAAAUAAAUUUCGUACAGCC